UCCCAAUCACUCAUUCAAAAUUCAAAUUUUCACAAACUUUUAUCUCUCCUUCACGUGGUCCCCACUUCCCUAAUAAGCAUUGAUUUUUCUCUCUUCCUCCACUCACUCUCUCAACCGUCCCCACUCUUUCUCCCUCUUUAGUCAUUAAAUUAUUUUUUUCUUUCUCCCCACUUUUCCUUGCACGUGAGCCACCCCCAUCAGAUCAAAUCAUUUUUCCUUUCACCUCAUGCAUGUACCAUACAUGAUGUAUGGAUACACCAUUGGUCCCACAUACUCACACAAAGGAUGCACAUGCCACUCAUUAAAAAUCUGAACCAUAUCCUCUCUCUCACUCACUCGACCUUUUCUCUCUGUCUCCCACAAAAGAAAAAUAUAUUUUUCUUCUUCCUCAUUCUAUUUCUUCUGCAACUUCUCUUCUUCCUCAUUCUAUUUCUUCUGCAACUUCUCUUCUUCCUCCUCACCAUUUUCUUCUUCCCAACAUGUCUGGAACAACACCACCACCACGAGCCAAAACAGCGAGCACCACCACCUCUAUGCCUCCUUCACGCAGCAACCACCACUGUCCAUGUUCUGUUUUUCCUCUCCAUGAGAGCCACCACCAAAACCCUAGCCGCCACCUUUUUCCUCCGAUCUCCGGCGAACCAUUAAGUUUUUGGAGAAACCAACACCACCACUGAACUCCUCUCAUCAACCGCAACAAAACCCCUUCAUCGAUUCGAUGAUCGGCCACCGCGACACCGGCGACCGCCGCCGCCGCCGUCUUCUCCGGCGAGCUUUGUUCUGAGAACGGAGGUCAAUUUCUUGAAACUCUCAACCUCCUUUUCCUGAAUCCAAGGCCCAAUCAUCAGUAAGAGGGCUUGCUGGUCAUCAGAGGAAGAUAAGGCCAUGACCAGAGGAAGAUAAGGCCAUGACAUGAAGUAUUAAUUAUGUAUACCUUUCUAUGUUAACAAAGAUAUAAGUUUUUGGUUUUAAAGUGAUUUACUAAUUCAAAAGCUUUUGAAGCGUUGUUUAUUGUGUCUUGUUGUCAUUAUGACGACUUGUCUUGAUUUCUGAAAUUGAUCCUAAUGGGUUAUAACCAUUAUGGGGAUUAGGUUUAACAUGCGUUCGCUUCGAGUCAAUUGCCUGAAGUCGUAGCUUUAGACCUUCAGUUAGUAGGUUAACUCAAAUGGUAAUUACGUCAUGUGUACUCAUGUAGGGUACGAAUAACGGGAGCGCUUGACGACGAAGCUAAAAGAAUAAAAGGAAGCACAACCGACACGGGAAAGCAAAGAUGUGUUGGGAUUGAAAUUGCAGCUAGUAUGAGAAUUGGCUAAAGUGAGGGCUACUCACUGAAUCUCUAGUUAAUGCUUAGGGUCGAUGCUUUCGACAUUGAUUUACUGUUUAUGCACUUGGUUGUGUUUGAUUGGAAAAAUGUUUUCUGAGGCUUCGGCUGACAAUGUAGAUGAUUCAUCUACUGAAUGUUUUUGAGAGUGAAUUACAUGCUAAGUGCUAAGUGGGUAAUUUAGGAUGUGUGAUGCAUGCCUUAUAUGCUAAGUGCUACGUGGUUAUUGCAUAAAAGGUUGAUAUAUGACAUGUUGGUUGAUUGGGCUGAGUUAA